UGCGUAGGCGGACUAAUAAGUCAGUGGUGAAAUCUUUCGGCUCAACCGGGAAACUGCCAUUGAUACUGUUGAUCUUGAGUUCGGUUGAGGUAGGCGGAAUGUGUAAUGUAGCGGUGAAAUGCUUAGAUACUACACAGAACACCAAUUGCGUAGGCAGCUUACUAGACCGACACUGACGCUGAGGCACGAAAGCGUGGGGAGCGAACAGGAUUAGAUACCCUGGUAGUCC
rnacentral:rRNA from 1 species